CGCAGGACCUGGGCGUGGGGACACCACCAGGCAGGAGCAGAGGCAGGACUGGGACGCCAAAAGCUGAGAAUCCUCGAUGCCCGCGCGAGAGCCCCGUGUUAUGGCGAGUUCUGGAGGCUGGGAAGUUCAAGACCAAUGCACUAGAAUUUGGUCUAAAGAGAAUCUUCUUGCUCUGAACACACAUAGUAGAAGGCAGAAGGGCAAGAGAGAGAACAAAGUCUGUGUCUCCACAUGGCAGAAGAGCAGAAGAGACAGAACCUACUCCUCUAUGGCAACCACCCCAUCAAUGACAAAAAUCCUAGAAAGAUGUAUGUAUAGUAAGUUGAAGUGUUGAGAAGAGAAUGGCUCAGAGUCAAGCAGGAACAAGAUUCAAACUUCAGAGAGAGAGGGAAGAAAAACAUUUAAAUAUAUCUGGCAUAAUCCAAGACUAUUUACAACAAGUGUUCUGUGUUUCUAAUAAUAAAACAGACUUCACCUCGGAGUACCUGCAGAACUGGGACCCCAGUGACCAGGGAGAAUGAAGAACAACUUGUUGAAGGUAUAGAGAAGGCAGCAAAUCAUAAAAGAAGGUCCAUCCCAAACCAGAGAUAGUAUAGAUAAACCUCUCAUGUUAACUAUGGAAAAAAUAAAGGAAGAUAACGUAUUUUAAUAGAAGGGAAAUUGCACUUAUUGGGAGUAAGAACACUGAAUUGACUGAAUAUCUUAAAGAGAGUUAGGAAGUGAAAUUCUCAAUAGGUGAUUAUUCUUUGACCAAUUUUGUCUUAUCUCUUAUCUACAUUCUUCCCUGCUCUUCCCAAUACAUGUGUAAGAAUAUCCAAGGGCACACACAUACCAUAAGCAGGAAUGGUGUCCUAAGGAAAGUCAAUAUAGAGAGUAAGAAGUAUAUCUGUCACAAUGUGUACAUGUAUACAUCCUAAAUAUUUGUACAAUUAAUUUACUUCUCUUCAUUUCCAACACUCCUAGUCUAUGCUAUGAACAUCUCUUACCUAAAAUACUACAGAUGUCCCCUAAAUUUUCCCAUAAAUCAGUUUUUUCCUCUCCAAGCUGUAAGCAGAAAUUCAUUUUUAAAUUGCAGAUAUGACCGUGACACGUAUCUGUCUCAGUUUAUAGAACAGGUCUCUAACAGGGCCAGCAGCUUCCGGUCACUUCUGUCCCUUACCUUUUCUCCAGUCUCAUUUUACAUAUAUUUUACAUGCUGUCUAUAUUUCUGUAAUUAAAUAUUACUUUCCCCCCCAA
rnacentral:antisense_RNA from 1 species